GUCAUAUCGAAAACGUGCUUAUAUUCGUUUUAUUAGAAUAUAAUAUUCUCUUUUUAAGUAAGAUAAGCCACGAAUAACGGACUAUUAGAUAAUUUAAUUAAAAAUCACUUUCCGUACACUCAUCAAACAACGCGUCGCACGAGUUGGUCGGUCGUAAAUUAAUUCAUACUCAACAUAAAAAAAAUGUUAAAAAUUUAGGAAUUGCACUCAUAUGUUUGCUACAUAGACAAUGAAAAAUUUUUGCGAAAGACCCGAACGAAUAUAAUGUACUUAAAGCAAUUAACUAUAUACUCUCAAUCGUUUGCCUUUGCUGUUCUAUGCUUCAAGCAGGCACUUUGACAAAGCGCAAUGGAGUAAAGAUAAAUAUCAGCUGAAUGUACAUAAAAAAAACCAAUAAGAAUUAGUUCUUUUCCGUAUUAUCUUUUACUAACGACAAUAUCCGGCAUGAUAGAGAAUAAAUGUAUCGAUAGUCUGAAGUUUGCCGAUGUCAAAAUAACGAGAUGAAGGGUGAAUUCCGUUAUAGAAGUGCAUGCUCACGCUAGUGAUAUUGGUUAGUAGAGUUAAUGCAUUUUUUUCUAUAGACGCUGCCAUAAAAAUAUGUAGAAGUAUGAACCUGGGAAAAUCAACAUAUUUGAAUUUUAAAUAAAUA